UGAAGUUCAGGUAACACUGAAUGGAGGACCGAACCGACUUACGUUGAAAAGUGAGCGGAUGAACUGAGGGUAGCGGAGAAAUUCCAAUCGAACUUGGAGAUAGCUGGUUCUCUCCGAAAUAGCUUUAGGGCUAGCCUCAAGUGAUGAUUAUUGGAGGUAGAGCACUGUUUGGACGAGGGGCCCCUCUCGGGUUACCGAAUUCAGACAAACUCCGAAUGCCAAAUAAUUUAACUUGGGAGUCAGAAUGUGGGUGAUAAGGUCCAUAUUCGAAAGGGAAACAGCCCAGACCACCAGCUAAGGUCCCAAAAUAUAUGUUAAGUGGAAAAGGAUGUGGCGUUGCCCAGACAACUAGGAUGUUGGCUUAGAAGCAGCCAUCAUUUAAAGAGUGCGUAAUAGCUCACUAGUCGAGUGACACUGCGCCGAAAAUGUACCGGGGCUAAACAUAUUACCGAAGCUGUGGAUUGUCCUUUGGACAAUGGUAGGAGAGCGUUCUAAGGGCGUUGAAGCAUGAUCGCAAGGACAUGUGGAGCGCUUAGAAGUGAGAAUGCCGGUGUGAGUAGCGAAAGACGGGUGAGAAUCCCGUCCACCGAUUGACUAAGGUUUCCAGAGGAAGGCUCGUCCGCUCUGGGUUAGUCGGGUCCUAAGCUGAGGCCGACAGGCGUAGGCGAUGGAUAACAGGUUGAUAUUCCUGUACCACCAUUAUUCGUUUUAAGCGAUGGGGGGACGCAGUAGGAUAGGCGAAGCGUGCUGUUGGAGUGCACGUCCAAGCAGUGAGAUUGAGUGUUAGGCAAAUCCGGCACUCUUAAGAUUGAGCUGUGAUGGGGAGAGGAACUUGUUCCUCGAGUCGUUGAUUUCACACUGCCGAGAAAAGCCUCUAGCUAGAAUAACGGUGCCCGUACCGCAAACCGACACAGGUAGUCAAGAUGAGAAUUCUAAGGUGAGCGAGCGAACUCUCGUUAAGGAACUCGGCAAAAUGACCCCGUAACUUCGGGAGAAGGGGUGCUCUUUGAGGUUCACGCUUCGAAGAGCCGCAGUGAAUAGGCCCAAGCGACUGUUUAUCAAAAACACAGGUCUCUGCUAAACCGUAAGGUGACGUAUAGGGGCUGACGCCUGCCCGGUGCUGGAAGGUUAAGAGGAGUGGUUAGCGCAAGCGAAGCUACGAAUCGAAGCCCCAGUAAACGGCGGCCGUAACUAUAACGGUCCUAAGGUAGCGAAAUUCCUUGUCGGGUAAGUUCCGACCCGCACGAAAGGCGUAACGAUUUGGGCACUGUCUCAACGAGAGACUCGGUGAAAUCAUAGUACCGGUGAAGAUGCCGGUUACCCGCGACAGGACGGAAAGACCCCGUGGAGCUUUACUGUAGCCUGAUAUUGAAAUUCGGUACAGUUUGUACAGGAUAGGUAGGAGCCUUAGAAGCGUGAGCGCUAGCUUACGUGGAGGCAUUGGUGGGAUACUACCCUAAUUGUAUUGGAUUUCUAACCCGCAGCACUUAUCGUGCUGGGAGACAGUGUCAGGCGGGCAGUUUGACUGGGGCGGUCGCCUCCUAAAGAGUAACGGAGGCGCUCAAAGGUUCCCUCAGAAUGGUUGGAAAUCAUUCAUAGAGUGUAAAGGCAUAAGGGAGCUUGACUGCGAGACCUACAAGUCGAGCAGGGUCGAAAGACGGACUUAGUGAUCCGGUGGUUCCGCAUGGAAGGGCCAUCGCUCAACGGAUAAAAGCUACCCCGGGGAUAACAGGCUUAUCUCCCCCAAGAGUUCACAUCGACGGGGAGGUUUGGCACCUCGAUGUCGGCUCAUCGCAUCCUGGGGCUGUAGUCGGUCCCAAGGGUUGGGCUGUUCGCCCAUUAAAGCGGUACGCGAGCUGGGUUCAGAACGUCGUGAGACAGUUCGGUCCCUAUCCGUCGUGGGCGUAGGAAAUUUGAGAGGAGCUGUCCUUAGUACGAGAGGACCGGGAUGGACAUACCUCUGGUGUACCAGUUGUCGUGCCAACGGCAUAGCUGGGUAGCUAUGUAUGGACGGGAUAAGUGCUGAAAGCAUCUAAGCAUGAAGCCCCCCUCGAGAUGAGAUUUCCCAACUUC
rnacentral:rRNA from 1 species